AAUAAAGUUAUUUUUUAGUUUUUAGAUAUAAUGUAUUGGUUCUUCGUCUUAUUAGAAUUUUUUUUAUGAUUAAUAUUUUUAUUGUUACUAGAUGAUAAAAUAUGAAUAGUACUUUAUACGGACUAAUUUUUUUAAAGUUUUUGUAUAAGUUUUUUAAAUAAGACGAAUGGUUAAAGCAUUAGGCACAGAAAUCAAAAAAUGACGUUAUU
rnacentral:pre_miRNA from 1 species